rnacentral:piRNA from 1 species
ACAGUGACUUGAGAGAUGCAA